AACCUCCGCAAUGUGAGAAUUCGCGACGGGGGGAUCCCAAGUGCCAUUCUUAACGGGAUGGCUUUUCUUAAGUGUAAAAAGCUUUUGGAAUAAGAGCUGGGCAAGACCGGUGCCAGCCGCCGCGGUAACACCGGCAGCUCUAGUGGUAGCAGUUUUUAUUGGGCCUAAAGCGUCCGUAGCCGGUUUGAUAAGUCUCUGGUGAAAUCCUGUAGCUUAACUGUGGGAAUUGCUGGAGAUACUAUUAGACUUGAGACCGGGAGAGGUUAGAGGUACUCCCAGGGUAGAGGUGAAAUUCUGUAAUCCUGGGAGGACCGCCUGUUGCGAAGGCGUCUAACUGGAACGGUUCUGACGGUGAGGGACGAAAGUUAGGGGCGCGAACCGGAUUAGAUACCCGGGUAGUCCUAACUGUAAACGAUGCGGACUUGGUGUUGGGGUGGCUUUGAGCUGCUCCAGUGCCGAAGGGAAGCUGUUAAGUCCGCCGCCUGGGAAGUACGGUCGCAAGACUGAAACUUAAAGGAAUU
rnacentral:rRNA from 1 species